UAGAUUAUUUAACUAUAGCCAAAGACAGUAGGUGGAAUGGAAAGUUCAUAAAAUCCUACCGAGGUAGUUGUAAUGGAUUGUUGGAGUUUAAAAUAAAUUCUUAGAUAGAUUUCGUUAUAAUAAUACCUCUGGCUUAUUGUUUUUGUUUCAGAGGUUUUUUUAUUUGAGGA
rfam:Leptotrichia sp. oral taxon 847, complete genome.